UACGGAGGUGGCAAGCGUUGCUCGGAAUCAUUGGGUGUAAAGGGUCGGUAGGCGGUCUCAUAAGUGUCCGGUGAAAGCCCGCAGCUUAACUGCGGAACGUCCGGGUAGACUGUGAGACUUGAGGGCUGGAGAGGCAAGCGGAAUUCCCGGUGUAAGAGUGAAAUCUGUAGAUAUCGGGAGGAACACCAGUGGCGAAGGCGGCUUGCUAGACAGCAUCUGACGUUGAACGACGAAAGCGUGGGGAGCAAACAGG
rnacentral:misc_RNA from 1 species